AGUCGCGUGGUCUAAAGGUUAUGAUUUCUCGUUUACAGUCUCCUGUAAGCUCCGAGACGGUUCCGUGUUCGAUCCACGGCGUGACUA